UACGGGGGGAGCAAGCGUUGUUCGGAUUUACUGGGCGUAAAGGGCGCGUAGGCGGCACCGCAAGUCAGUUGUGAAAUCUCUGGGCUUAACCCAGAAAGGUCAACUGAUACUGCGGGGCUAGAGUGCAGAAGGGGCAACUGGAAUUCUCUGUGUAGCGGUGAAAUGCGUAGAUAUCGAGAGGAACACCUGCGGCGAAGGCGGGUUGCUGGGCUGACACUGACGCUGAUGCGCGAAAGCUAGGGGAGCGAACGGG
rnacentral:rRNA from 1 species